CGCUGCUAUAACCUUUCACUUUUAAGUCCUCAAACACAUCCAAGGCCAACAUAAUCCUUUCCUUCUUCCCAACCACAAAUGAGAAGAAUUUGGAAAUAUCAUCAAUUCCCAACUUAUCCAUCUCCUCAAGCAGCUUGCAAAAAUCAUCCAUCCUUUUCAUCUCCGCAUAAGACACCAACAUGGGAUUCACUGUCUUAAAGUCUGGCUCAAGACCCUCUUGAUCCAAAACUUGAAAAAGAUUAUGAGCCUUAUCUACCCGCUUCACAUUACAGAGACCUUCAAUAAGUGAAUUAUAAAUUCUCAAAUCAGCCCUAUAGCCAGAAUCAACCAAAUCCUUGAACAAAUCACAAGCUGAUCCAACCUUUCCAUUCUCCACGAAUGCCUCAAUCAGUAUUCCAUAAAUCGCUCUAUCAAUCAAAAUUCCCUUCUCCUUCAUCUCCUUAAACAAC
rnacentral:misc_RNA from 1 species